GCAUCGCUUAGUCGUGUCCG
rnacentral:misc_RNA from 1 species